rnacentral:tRNA from 1 species
GGUCCUGUCGUCCAGUGGUUAAGACGCUGCCCUUUCAAGGCGGAAACAAGAGUUCGACUCUCUUGUGGUCCA